CGCGAAUAGCUCAUUACAACAGCUAUAAUUUACUUGAUCUUGACACUAUCCUACUUGGAUAACUGUGGCAAUUCUAGAGCUAAUACACGCAAUAAAGCUCCGACCUUACGGGACGAGCGCAUUUAUUAGACCAAAACCAAUCGGGCCUCGGCCUGAACGGUGGUGACUCUGAAUAACUGAGCUGAUCGCAUGGUCUUUGUACCGGCGACGCAUCUUUCAAGUGUCUGCCUUAUCAACUUUCGAUGGUAGUUUAUGUGCCUACCAUGGUUGUUACGGGUAACGGAGAAUAAGGGUUCGACUCCGGAGAGGGAGCCUGAGAAACGGCUACCACAUCCAAGGAAGGCAGCAGGCGCGCAAAUUACCCACUCUCGGCACGAGGAGGUAGUGACGAAAAAUAACGAGGCGGUUCUCUAAGAGGCCCGCUAUCGGAAUGGGUACAAUUUAAACCCUUUAACGAGGACCUAUGAGAGGGCAAGUCUGGUGCCAGCAGCCGCGGUAAUUCCAGCU
rnacentral:rRNA from 1 species